ACGGGUGAGUAAUAUAUCGGAACGUGCCCAAUCGUGGGGGAUAACGUAGAGAAAUUUACGCUAAUACCGCAUACGAUCUAAGGAUGAAAGCGGGGGAUCGCAAGACCUCGCGCGAUUGGAGCGGCUGAUAUCAGAUUAGGUUGUUGGUGAGGUAAAAGCUCACCAAGCCGACGAUCUGUAGCUGGUUUGAGAGAACGACCAGCCACACUGGGACUGAGACACGGCCCAGACUCCUACGGGAGGCAGCAGUGGGGAAUUUUGGACAAUGGGCGAAAGCCUGAUCCAGCAAUGCCGCGUGCAGGAAGAAGGCCUUCGGGUUGUAAACUGCUUUUGUACGGAACGAAACGGCUCUUUCUAAUAAAGAGGGCUAAUGACGGUACCGUAAGAAUAAGCACCGGCUAACUACGUGCCAGCAGCCGCGGUAAUACGUAGGGUGCGAGCGUUAAUCGGAAUUACUGGGCGUAAAGCGUGCGCAGGCGGUUAUGUAAGACAGUUGUGAAAUCCCCGGGCUCAACCUGGGAAUUGCAUCUGUGACUGCAUAGCUAGAGUACGGUAGAGGGGGAUGGAAUUCCGCGUGUAGCAGUGAAA
rnacentral:rRNA from 1 species